CCGACUUAGCUCAGUAGGUAGAGCAACUGACUUGUAAUCAGUAGGUCACCAGUUCGAUUCCGGUAGUCGG
rnacentral:tRNA from 1 species